GGAAGAGUGGCCGAGCGGUUUAAGGCGCAGCUCUCGAAAAGCUGUUGAGGAGAAAUCCUCUCGUGAGUUCGAAUCUCACCUCUUCCGCCU
rnacentral:tRNA from 1 species